rnacentral:rRNA from 1 species
GUGCCAGCCGCCGCGGUAAUACGGAGGGUGCAAGCGUUAUCCGGAUUCACUGGGUUUAAAGGGUGCGUAGGUGGGCAGGUAAGUCAGUGGUGAAAUCUCCGGGCUUAACUCGGAAACUGCCAUUGAUACUAUCUGUCUUGAAUACCGUGGAGGUUAGCGGAAUAUGUCAUGUAGCGGUGAAAUGCUUAGAUAUGACAUAGAACACCAAUUGCGAAGGCAGCUGGCUACACGAAUAUUGACACUGAUGCACGAAAGCGUGGGGAUCAAACAGGAUUAGAUACCCUGGUAGUCC